UAGAGGAGUGCUCGAAAGAGAGCCGUAACACAGGUGCUGCAUGGCUGUCGUCAGCUCGUGUCGUGAGAUGUUGGGUUAAGUCCCGCAACGAGCGCAACCCUUGUCAUUAGUUGCUACAUUCAGUUGGGCACUCUAAUGAGACUGCCGGUGACAAACCGGAGGAAGGUGGGGAUGACGUCAAGUCCUCAUGGCCCUUAUAGGUGGGGCUACACACGUCAUACAAUGGAUGGUACAAAGGGUCGCCAACCCGCGAGGGGGAGCCAAUCCCAUAAAGCCAUUCGUAGUCCGGAUCGCAGUCUGCAACUCGACUGCGUGAAGUCGGAAUCGCUAGUAAUCGUGGAUCAGAAUGUCACGGUGAAUACGUUCCCGGGUCUU
rnacentral:rRNA from 1 species